rnacentral:rRNA from 1 species
CAAGUCGAACGGUAACAGGCCCGCAAGGGUGCUGACGAGUGGCGGACGGGUGAGGAAUACAUCGGAAUCUGCCCGGUUGUGGGGGAUAACGUAGGGAAACUUACGCUAAUACCGCAUACGACCGAAAGGUGAAAGCGUGGGAUCCGCAAGGACCUCGCGCAGCCGGAUGAGCCGAUGUCGGAUUAGCUAGUUGGCGGGGUAAAGGCCCACCAAGGCGACGAUCCGUAGCUGGUCUGAGAGGAUGAUCANCCACACUGGGACUGAGACACGGCCCAGACUCCUACGGGAGGCAGCAGUGGGGAAUAUUGGACAAUGGGGGCAACCCUGAUCCAGCAAUGCCGCGUGUGUGAAGAAGGCCUUCGGGUUGUAAAGCACUUUUAUCCGGAACGAAACGUGUCAGGCGAAUAGCCUUGGCAAACUGACGGUACCGGAGGAAUAAGCACCGGCUAACUUCGUGCCA